AAAAGAAACUAACCAGGAUUCCCCUAGUAACGGCGAGCGAACCGGGAAUAGCCCAACUUGAAAAUCUCCCCUUGGAGAAUUGUAGUCUACAGAAGCGCCCUCAUGGGCUGGCGGAACUCAAGUCGGAUCGAAUGCCGCGUCAGAGAGGGUGAUAACCCCGUCGGUUCCUGCCUAGUCCUCUCACGAGGUGCUUUCCACGAGUCGGGUUGUUUGGGAAUGCAGCCCUAAUUUGGAGGUAAAUCCCUUCUAAGGCUAAAUACUGCUGAGAGACCGAUAGCGAACAAGUACCGUGAGGGAAAGAUGAAAAGAACUUUGAAAAGAGAGUUAAAAGUGCUUGAAAUUGUUGAGAGGGAAGCGAUUAGCGCUUGUGUGUGCCCCCAGGCUUAAGUGUGCCUAACGGCCCAUUGAAUGUGCUGGGUGCUGGUCAGAGUGGGUUGUCUUGGCGGGAAAACAGUUGGGUCCACCCCGGUAACCCGGCCGAUGCCGCCGAGAUGACCAAGGCGUGAAGGUUGCUUUGUCCUUCGGGAUCCGCAUCCUAAAGACUCUGGCAGAAAAGCGUUAAUCGACCCGUCUUGAAACACGGACCAAGGAGUCUAACAUGUAUGCGAGUUGGCGGGUUGAAAACCCGUAAGCGCAAGUAACCUGACUGGUGGGAUGGCCUGUGCCUGCACCAUCGACCGACCAUGUUGCUUUUGCGAAAGGUUUGAGUGCGAGCAUACCUGUUGGGACCCGAAAGAUGGUGAACUAUGCCUGAGCAGGGUGAAGCCAGAGUAACCUCUGGUGGAGGCUCGUAGAUGUGCUGACGUGCAAAUCGCUUUUCAGACUUGGGUAUAGGGGCGAAAGACUAAUCGAACCAUCUAGUAGCUGGUUCCCUCCGAAGUUUCCCCCAGGAUAGCUGGAGCUUGAUCAGUUUUAUCGGGUAAAGCGAAUGAUUAGAGGUUCGGGGGAUGAAACAUCCUUCACCUAUUCUCAAACUUUAAAUAGGUAAGACGUGUCGGUUGCUUAACUGAACCGUCACAUUCAAUGUGAGCUCCAAGUGGGCCAUUUUUGGUAAGCAGAACUGGCGAUGCGGGAUGAACCGAUAGUCGAGUUAAGGUGCCAAACUGCGCGCUAACCUAGAUCCCACAAAGGGUGUUGAUUGAUAUAAACAGCAGGACGGUGGUCAUGGAAGUCGAAAUCCGCUAAGGAGUGUGUAACAACUCACCUGCCGAAUCAAUUAGCCCCGAAAAUGGAUGGCGCUUAAGCGCGCGACCUAUACUCGGCCAUGGAUGCAAGUGCGACGCGUCCAUGAGUAGGAGGGCGUGGGUGUCGAGACUAAGCCUCUGGCGUGAGCCUGGGUGAAUCGGCAUCUAGUGCAGAUCUUGGUGGUAGUAGCAAAUAUUCAAAUGAGAACUUUGAAGACUGAAGUGGAGAAAGGUUCCAUGUGAACAGCAAUUGGACAUGGGUUAGUCGAUCCUAAGAGAUGGGGCAAUCCUGUGUGAAGAGCGCGAUUUGUGCUUCCCAUCGAAAGGGAAAAGGGUUAAGAUUCCCUUACUUGGACAAGGCGGCUGGCGGUAACGCAAGCGAGCCCGGAGACAUCGGCAUCGGCCCUGGGAAGAGUUCUCUUUUCUUUUUAACAACCCGAAGGCCCUGGAAUCGAAUCAUUCGAAGAUAGGGCUCAGAGGUUGGUAAAGCACCGCACUUCUCGCGGUGUCCGGCGCGCCGUUGACGGUCCUUGAAAAUCCGGGGGAGCAUUUCCGAUCUUGCCAAGUCGUACUCAUAACCGCAUCAGGUCUCCAAGGUGAACAGCCUCUAGUCGAUAGAACAAUGUAGAUAAGGGAAGUCGGCAAAAUGGAUCCGUAACUUCGGGAAAAGGAUUGGCUCUGAGGGCUGGGCCUAGGGGUCUGCAGCUGUGAAGCUCGGGACUGUGGUGGUCUACCCAACUGGAAACGGCUGGGCGGACUGCUGCGUGUCCUGGGUGGACGGCUGUAGAAGCUUCGCGGCGUUCCCUAGGCGACGAACAGCCAACUCAGAACUGGUACGGACAAGGGGAAUCCGACUGUUUAAUUAAAACAAAGCAUUGUGAUGGUCCCAAAGGAUGUUGACACAAUGU
rnacentral:rRNA from 1 species